GUAGUCAUAUGCUUGUCUCAAAGAUUAAGCCAUGCAUGUCUAAGUAUAAGCAAUUAUACAGCGAAACUGCGAAUGGCUCAUUAUAUAAGUUAUCGUUUAUUUGAUAGUACCUUACUACUUGGAUAACCGUGGUAAUUCUAGAGCUAAUACAUGCUAAAAAUCCCGACUUCGGAAGGGAUGUAUUUAUUAGAUUAAAAACCAAUGCCCUUCGGGGCUCACUGGUGAUUCAUGAUAACUCCUCGAAUCGCAUGGCCUUGUGCCGGCGAUGGUUCAUUCAAAUUUCUUCCCUAUCAACUUUCGAUGUUUGGGUAUUGGCCAAACAUGGUUGCAACGGGUAACGGGGAAU
rnacentral:rRNA from 2 species